UACAGAGGGUGCAAGCGUUGUUCGGAAUUACUGGGCGUAAAGGGCGCGUAGGCGGCCUUCUAAGUCAGACGUGAAAUCCCCCGGCUUAACCUGGGAACUGCGUCUGAUACUGGGAGGCUUGAGUAUGGGAGAGGGAUGUAGAAUUCCAGGUGUAGCGGUGAAAUGCGUAGAUAUCUGGAGGAAUACCGGUGGCGAAGGCGGCAUCCUGGACCAUUACUGACGCUGAGGCGCGAAAGCUAGGGGGAGCAAACGGG
rnacentral:rRNA from 1 species